rnacentral:rRNA from 1 species
AUGCCGAUGUGGAGGAUGCCGCCGCUGCGGGCGAGCAGCGGCUGGUGGCUAUCGGUGGUGGUGAUCCUGGCGGAGCUGGCUAGAGAUCAGCUGCUGCUAUGGAACGCGGCGCCGGCCUCUGCACCAAUAAGCUCGACUGGUUCCAUGCCAUGGAGGUAUUCUGCUCUGUCUCCAGUUUCCAAGGUCAUCUUGGUGGUGGAAUCGAAGCAGAGAGGAGAUGGUGAUCCUAAUUGGGUUUGUGCUUAUCUCUGGUGGCUGAUUGGGACUUGCUACGGCGCCAGCCAAGGUGCUCGGCUGCCGGCUGGCCCCAUCUCGCCGCCGCACGUGGUGGCCGAAGGGCGGCCUUCUUGUUUCUUCCUCCCUGCCAAGGAGCCUAUAGGGAGGCAGCUCAUCUUCUACAUGGAGUCUAUGGCGUGGUGCCAUGGAAGCUCUGCCGUCCCAAGUGGUAUUGUCCUCGGCGACGACGUGGCUGCACCCGUGAAGAUGUCAGGGACCCAAUUGCGUUGCUCAUCUGGUUGUUGGGGUCCUCUUUGUAAAAUGCAGGGACCAGUUUGCUAUUUAGGAUUAGUUCUGGGUCCUUUUGCAUUCUGCUGUGUACCACUGUUUUAA